rnacentral:lncRNA from 1 species
AAAAAGAGAGUACAAUAUUAUAUAAAUAAAGUAAGAGAAAGGCUUCAUAAACAAACAAAGCCUUGAUAAAGAGAAUCCAUACCAUAUCAACAGUGAUGCUCCUCACUUGGACCUUUCCAUAUUCUGAUGUAAGGCCUGUAAGCAUACAACUGAAUAGUCUUGAGUAGGAAGUUAACCAAUUAACAGAGGGAAAAUGUUUUCUCUGGGAAAGCUUUUUGUCCAAAACCCCAGAAGACCUGCAAAGGGACAUAAACGACGUUAAUACGAGUCUGCGGAAGUUGUAAAACCAAACACAAUCUGGGUUAUCUCAAUGGAGAUAUAUGAAUAUGUACAUGGACAAUGGAAGAUAGGGAAGCAGGCAUGAAC